CAUCAUGGGGGUAAUUCUCAUUCCUUGUCUACCAUACGCUCUCAAAGGCAACAUAACCAGUCUGGCAAAUUUCAAUGUCAAAAAAAUUAAAUGCAACCUUAUAUGUGACUCUCUAACUUUCCAAAAUACCAUAAAAUCUGUACAUGGGGGGGUACUGUUAUUCUCGGGAGACUUCACGAAACACAAAUAUUAGUGUUUUAAAACAGUAAAACAUAUUACAACAAUAAUAUAGUCCAUAAAAGUGCAGUUCGUUUGUAAACUACCUUCCUAUUGUAUUCCUUAAAGCUACAGGAACUCGUCUCAGCAAGCUACCUUCACAUUAUAUUCCUUAACGCUUCAGGAACUCGUCUCAACGAACUACCUUCACAUUAUAUUCCUUAAAGCUUCAGGAACUCGUCUCAAUUAACUACCUUCCUAUUGUAUUCCUUAAAGCUACAGGAACUCAUCUCAUUGAACUAUCUUCAUAUUACAAUCCUUAAAGCUACAGGAACUCUCCUCAACACAUUAUUCUGUAUGUCGUGUUCUUUAAAGCUACAUGAACUCUUCUCAAACUAUCUUCAUAUUGUUCCCUUAAAGCUACAGGAACUCUUCUCAAACUUUCUACUUCUCAUGUUCCUUAAAUCUACAGGAACCUCCCCAACGACCUAUAUGCUCAUCACUUCCUCAAAACACUAUUCUGCAGUUGAGUUCCACUCCAAAUCCAUAGGAAGCAUAACACUAGUCAUAUUGUUUUAUAUGACUAAUGAAGCAAAAUACCAAAUAUAUUUUAAAGUAUAUCAACACUUUGACCUGCCAUAAUGUAAGAAAGAAGCCCAUGUUUAAUAAGGUCUAGUGGUCAUGUUGGAUUGCAUGACCAAUUUUGCUAAAUCAUCAGAUUAGUAUAUAAAACAGAUAUCUUUAAUUCUUAACUCUCUAACUGCAAUAUCUGCUCAUGUGCACUGUCCAGGAUUUUGUACUUGUUUACCUUGAUUUCUGCUUGGUGCUAUAUUUGUAAUACUUUAAUUUAAGUGACAACAUAAUGUAUGACGCUGUAUAUUGUAUAUUUACUAUAAUUGGGGUUACAAACAAUAAUAAACUUCUUUGGUAAAGUG